CUACGGGUGGCACCAGUGAGGGAUUUUGCGCAAUGGGGGUAACCCUGACGCAGCAACGCCGCGUGAGUGAAGAAGGUCUUUGGGUCGUAAAGCUCUGUCAACAGGGAAGAAGUUAAGAUAUAUUAAUAGUAUAUUUUAUUGACGGUACCUGUGAAGGAAGCACCGGCUAACUCCGUGCCAGCAGCCGCGGUAACACGGGGGGUGCAAGCGUUAUUCGGAAUUAUUGGGCGUAAAGGGCGCGUAGGCGGUUUUGUCAGUCAGAUGUGAAAGCCCGGGGCUCAACCCCGGAAGUGCAUUUGAAACAGCAAGACUUGAGUACGGGAGAGGAAAGCGGAAUUCCUGGUGUAGAGGUGAAAUUCGUAGAUAUCAGGAGGAACACCGAUGGCGAAGGCAGCUUUCUGGACCGAUACUGACGCUGAGGCGCGAAGGCGUGGGUAGCGAACAGGAUUAGAUACCCCUGUAGUC
rnacentral:rRNA from 1 species